AUCUCAACCCCAUACCAUAUCGAGCUGAUUACAUGGGUCACAAGGUUCAUUUGGACCAAAAUGAAAAACUGGCUAUGUUUGGGGUCACCCAUGUUUUAGCCAUUGAUGGCUUCAGCAAAAAGGUUGUUGCUCAUUCUACAAUGCCUAUAAAAAACUACCUUACCAUCUAUGAAGAUGUUUUCAGGCCUGCAGUACUUGCCUAUGGUAUGUGGGACCAGGUGCGAGUAGAUCAUGGCAAGGAGUUUUAUUUGACGCUCUUCAUGCAAGAGUUGCUGUCAUCUCACCGCCAUAAUCAGGAGCGAGGGCCUUAUUUACAGACUUCAUCCACAAGG